rnacentral:rRNA from 1 species
UCCCGUUGAUCCUGCGGGAGGUUGCUGCUAUUAGGGUUCGACUAAGCCAUGCAAGUCAGGUAGCAAUACCGGCAUAACGCUCAGUAACACGUCAAUAAUCUGCCCUUAAGUCUAGGAUAACCUUGGGAAACUGAGGCUAAGACUGGAUAUGGGAAAAUAUCUGGAAUGAUAUUUCCUUCAAAGGUAACGCUUAAGGAUGAGUUGGCGGUUGAUUAGGUUGUUGGUGGGGUAAAGGCCCACCAAGCCUACGAUCAGUAGGGGCCUCGAGAGAGGGAGCCCCGAGAAGGGCACUGAGAUACUGGCCCUAGCCCCACGGGGUGCAGCAGGCGCGAAACCUUUACAAUAUACGAAAGUGUGAUAAGGGAACCCUAAGUGCUUAGCUUAUGCUAGGCUUUUGCCAAGAGUAAAUAUCUUGGCGAAUAAGUGGUGGGAAAGACUGGUGCCAGCCGCCGCGGUAACACCAGCGCCACAAGUGGCAACUGUGAUUAUUGGGCCUAAAGCGUCCGUAGCCGGAUCUAUAAAUCUUUUGUGAAAUCGUUGAGCUCAACUUAACGGACUGCAGAAGAGACUGUAGAUCUUGGAACCGGGAGGAGUCAGAAGUAUUUCUGGGGGAGCGGUAAAAUGUUAUAAUCCCAGAAAGACUACCUGUGGUGAAGACGUCUGACUAGAACGGAUUCGACGGUGAGGGACGAAAGCUAGGGGAGCAAUCCGGAUUAGAUACCCGAGUAGUCCUAGCUGUAAACGCUGCGAGCAAGGUGUUACAUAUUCUUCGAGAAUGUGUUGUGUCGAAACGAAGGUGCUAAGCUCGCCGCCUGGGGAGUAUGGUCGCAAGACUGAAACUUAAAGGAAUUGGCGGGGGAGCACUACAAGGUGUGCGGCGUGCGGUUUAAUCUAAUUCAACGCAGAGAAUCUCACCAGAGGCGACGGCAGGAUGAAGGUCAGUCUAAAGGGCUUACCUGACGAGCCGAGAGGUAGUGCAUGGCCGCCGUCAGCUCGUGCCGUAAGGUGUC